rnacentral:rRNA from 1 species
AGUGAACGCUGGCGGUAGGCCUAACGCAUGCAAGUCGAUCGGCAGCACAGGAGAGCUUGCUCUCUGGGUGGCGAGUGGCGGACGGGUGAGGAAUACAUCGGAAUCUACUUUUUCGUGGGGGAUAACGUAGGGAAACUUACGCUAAUACCGCAUACGACCUACGGGUGAAAGCAGGGGACCUUCGGGCCUUGCGUGAUUGAAUGAGCCGAUGUCGGAUGAGCUAGUUGGCGGGGUAAAGGCCCACAAAGGCGACGAUCCGUAGCUGGUCUGAGAGGAUGAUCAGCCACACUGGAACUGAGACACGGUCCAGACUCCUACGGGAGGCAGCAGUGGGGAAUAUUGGACAAUGGGCGCAAGCCUGAUCCAGCCAUACCGCGUGGGUGAAGAAGGCCUUCGGGUUGUAAAGCCCUUUUGUUGGGAAAGAAAUCCAGCUGGCUAAUACCCGGUUGGGAUGACGGUACCCAAAGAAUAAGCACCGGCUAACUUCGUGCCAGCAGCCGCCGUAA